CUUACAAGCAAGAUGGGACUGAGACUGUAGAUGGUAACAAGGACAUUGGAUAUACACCUGUUAUAAUCAGUGUGCUCACUGUUCUUUUUGUUGUAUCCAUAGUGGUGGGCUUUACACAUAAGUAUUUCCUGAGGAGAAAGGGCUCAUAUGACACCAGAGAAGACCUGAAGCCAGCAUUAUUACCCUUCCAAACUCUUUAGCUUGCCUGCCUCAAUAAGCUCUGGAACCGUAUCUAUCAUUUAAAGAACAUCUGUGACCCAGGAAGGAUGUGCCAACACACUGUAGCAGUUCCUCUCUGGAUGAAUGGAAACUCACCUGAAUAUUAUUGCACUUCAAAUGGCAGAUAAAAACAAAUUUGUUAAAGUUAAUAAUUUAAAUGAUCAGUGGUCAUAAUGAACAUCCACUGUUAAAAAGCACUUUUUGUUCAUACUUUUCCUACCUUCACACUUUAUUUUUAACAAAUAUUUGUAAUUAAAUAUUUCUAUUUUGUACAUUAUUUAUGUUAAAAAAAUAAACUGUUGA